UACGAAGGGGGCUAGCGUUGCUCGGAAUCACUGGGCGUAAAGCGCACGUAGGCGGAUUGUUAAGUCAGGGGUGAAAUCCUGGAGCUCAACUCCAGAACUGCCUUUGAUACUGAGGAUCUUGAGUUCGGGAGAGGUGAGUGGAACUGCGAGUGUAGAGGUGAAAUUCGUAGAUAUUCGGAAGAACACCAGUGGCGAAGGCGACACACUGGCCCAAUACUGACGCUGAGGCGCGAAAGCGUGGGGAGCAAACAGG
rnacentral:rRNA from 1 species